UUGCUUAAGAUUUGCUCAAGAUCCAUAAUUCUCAGAAAUCCACUGAUCCUAUACUAAAUAUAGGAGGGGUAGAAUGAUGCGAACGGUCAUUCGAAAACAUUUGAUCUUGAGCAGAUCUUGAGCAAGUCUUGCAUAAGUAUAUUCAGCAUGCUUCUGGUGUCAGUCU